rnacentral:rRNA from 1 species
AACGCGAAGAACCUUACCUAGACUUGACAUGCAGUGGACAGGUGCGGAAACGCACCCUCUCGAAAGGGCCGCUGCACAGGUGCUGCAUGGCUGUCGUCAGCUCGUGCCGUGAGGUGUUGGGUUAAGUCCCGCAACGAGCGCAACCCUUGUCACUAGUUGCCAUCAGGUAAUGCUGGGAACUCUAGUGAGACUGCCUGGGUUAACCAGGAGGAAGGUGAGGACGACGUCAAGUCCGCAUGGCCCUUACGUCUAGGGCUACACACGUGCUACAAUGGCCGGUACAAUAGGUGGCAAGACCGCAAGGUGGAGCAAAUCCAUGAAAACCGGUCCCAGUUCAGAUUGGGGUCUGCAACUCGACCCCAUGAAGUCGGAAUUGCUAGUAAUGGCGGGUCAGCUAUACCGCCGUGAAUACGUUCCCGGGCCUUGUACACACCGGAGUA